CCACUGAAGUACAUUAUCUAGACUAGUGUCUGACACUUAAGCUAAGAGCGAAUAAGAUUAGAUACCCCAAUAAUCCUAGCCGUAAACGAGUAAACGAUAGAUACUAGAUGCUGUGUGUAUCGACUCAUGCAGUGUUGUAGCUAACACCUUAAGUAUCCCGUCUGGGGAGUACAUUCGCAAGAAUGAAACUUAAAGAAAUUGACGGAGCCCACACAAGCGGUGAAGCAUGUGAUUUAAUUCGAUGUAAAACAAAGAAUUUUACCAGGACUUAACAUGCCGCGAAUCUUCUUGAAAAGAAGGAUGCCUUCGAAAACGCGGACACAGGUGCUGUAUAACUAUCGUCAGCUUGUACCGUAAGGUGUUGGAUCACUUUUGAGAAUACUGGUCCAAUAAAUCAGCAAAGUCACAUCUCCCCAUCGUACUCCCUAGCCAUAUCUAUCAACCGCUUAACUACAAGAGCAUCUAUCUACAAUAUGAUGGCUAGCUGUUCACGGACUAGCAGUACCCACUUUUUCUUUUUUGAGAUCAAUAUUAAUAAUGCAGUUCAUCCAAAGAUAAAUGUAAUUUGAAUUAUACAACUAUGACACAAUUAAACUCAAAUGAAUAAAAUGUGGAAUUAAAUUGUACCCGUCUCUACGGAGGAUUAUUAUUUAUUUUUGUACUUGCUGUUUUAUUUUCAAAUUAUUUUUUCAAUUAAUUAGAAUUAAUAGAUAGAAUUAAGAAAAAAAAUAGGAAUAAGAAAAAAUAGGAAUACUAAAUAAAAUAUAUAUAUAUA
rnacentral:ncRNA from 1 species